rnacentral:lncRNA from 1 species
CCUCCCCAUGCCUGCUGAAAGUCCCUGUUUCCUUUCCUAGGGCAGAGAGGAGGAGAGCGAUCAGAUCCGGGAGAAGUUUGCUGUCCCUGAGAGUGAUCACCUGACCUACCUGAACGUCUACCUGCAGUGGAAGAACAACAAUUACUCCACCAUUUGGUGCAACGACCACUUCAUCCACGCCAAGGCCAUGCGGAAGGUCCGGGAGGUGCGGGCCCAGCUCAAGGAUAUCAUGGUGCAGCAGCGGAUGAGCCUGGCCUCAUGUGGCACUGACUGGGACAUUGUCAGGAAGUGCAUCUGUGCUGCCUAUUUCCACCAGGCAGCCAAGCUCAAGGGCAUUGGGGAGUAUGUGAACAUCCGUACAGGGAUGCCCUGCCACUUACACCCCACCAGCUCCCUCUUCGGAAUGGGUUACACC